UUCCUCCUUGGUUACCGUCAUUAUCUUCUCCAAGGACAGAGCUUUACGAAACGAAUUCCUUCAUCGCUCACGCGGCGUCGCUGCAUCAGGGUUCCCCCCAUUGUGCAAUAUUCCCCACUGCUGCCUCCCGUAGGAGUUUGGACCGUGUCUCAGUUCCAAUGUGACCGUUCACUCUCUCAAGCCGGUUACUGAUCGUCGCCUUGGUGGGCUUUUAUCUCACCAACUAGCUAAUCAGACGCGAGCCCAUCUUAGACCGCUAAAGCUUUAACUUCUCUUACACUCGUAAGYGGAGUCUCAUAGGGUAUUAAUCACGGUUUCCCGAGGCUAUCCCCUUGUCUAAGGCAGGUUGCUCACGCGUUACUCACCCGUUCGCCACUAAUYCYCUCAAAAAUCUC
rnacentral:rRNA from 1 species